rnacentral:rRNA from 1 species
CGAAGGGGGACGGAGAAGGCUAUANUGGCCGGGCGACGGUUGUCCCGGUUUAGCGUGUAGGCUGGUUUUCCAGGCAAAUCCGGAAAAUCAAGGCUGAGGCGUGAUGACGAGGCACUACGGUGCUGAAGCAACAAAUGCCCUGCUUCCAGGAAAAGCCUCUAAGCAUCAGGUAACAUCAAAUCGUACCCCAAACCGACACAGGUGGUCAGGUAGAGAAUACCAAGGGGCGGAGAACUCGGGUGAAGGAACUAGGCAAAAUGGUGCCGUAACUUCGGGAGAAGGCACGCUGAUAUGUAGGUGAAGCGACUUGCUCGUGGAGCUGAAAUCAGUCGAAGAUACCAGCUGGCUGCAACUGUUUAUUAAAACACAGCACUGUGCAAACACGAAAGUGGACGUAUACGUGUGACGCCUGCCGGUGCCGGAAGGUUAAUUGAUGGGGUUAGCGCAAGCGAAGCUCUUGAUCGAAGCCCGGUAAACGGCGGCCGUAACAAUAACGGUCCUAAGGUAGCGAAAUUCCUUGUCGGUAAGUUCCGACCUGCACGAAUGGCGUAAUGAUGGCCAGGCUGUUCCACCGAGACUCAGUGAAAUUGAACUCGCUGUGAAGAUGCAGUGUACCCGCGGCAAGACGGAAAGACCCCGUGAACCUUUACAUAGCUUGACACCUGAACAUUGAGCCUUGAUGUGUAGGAUAGGUGGGAGGCUUAGAAGUGUGGACGCCAGUCUGCAUGGAGCCGACCUUGAAAUACCACCCUUUAAUGUUUGAUGUUCUAACGUUGACCCGUAAUCCGGGUUGCGGACAGUGUCUGGUGGGUAGUUUGACUGGGGCGGUCUCCUCCUAAAGAGUAACGGAGAGCACGAAGGUUGGCUAAUCCUGGUCGGACAUCGAGGUUAGUAAUGGCAUAAGCCAGCUUGACUGCGAGCGUGACGGCGCGAGCAGGUGCGAAAGCAGGUCAUAGUGAUCCGGUGGUUCUGAAUGGAAGGGCCAUCGCUCAACGGAUAAAAGGUACUCCGGGAUAACAGGCUGAUACCGCCCAAGAGUUCAUCGACGGCGGUGUUUGGCACCUCGAUGUCGGCUCAUCACAUCCUGGGGCUGAAGUAGGUCCCAGGUAUGGCUGUUCGCCAUUAAAGUGGUACGCGAGCUGGGUUUAGAACGUCGUGAGACAGUUCGGUCCCUAUCUGCCGUGGGCGCUGGAGAACUGAGGCUGCUCCUAGUACGAGAGGACCGGAGUGGACGCAUCACUGGUGUUCGGUUGUCAUGCCAAUGGCACUGCCCGGUAGCAAUGCGGAAGAGAUAAGUGCUGAAAGCAUCUAAGCACGAAACUUGCCCCGAGAUGAGUUCUCCCUGACCCUUUAAGGUCCUGGAGGAACGUUGAAGACGACGACGUUGAUAGGCCGGGUGUGUAAGCGCAGCGAUGCGUUNACCUGANNNU